ensembl:snoRNA LOC120101336 small nucleolar RNA SNORA17
CCUGUCUCACAGGAGUGCUACUGUGUCACAGGUGCAUCAGUAAGUGGCAGAGAGGAGAAGGGAUACGAUACUCAGUGUUCUGACCUGUGAACGUCUGAAUGAUUAGUACCUUAACACU